CCCAAACUUCAAGGUGCUUAAUAGUUGAUAUAAACAACAAAAUUCUGUCAUAAGAAUGAAGGGUGGCAGGAUUUGGUAGUAGAGCAACGUACCAGCCACUGGCUUGAGUUCAGCAAAAAAACUGAGUGGAGUUCAAGUCGUCACUGUGGAUCUUAAAACUAAAGACAUGAAACUGAAGCAGAAGUUUAAAAUGAACGAAGAGAAAAUGUAGACACAAAGAGAAUAGCAUGUUCAAAAAUCACAGAGCUGGCAAAUGGCAGAUCCAGGAUGUAAACCCCCAGGAUUACCCUAGUAGAAAUGGGAAGAACAACAUUAGGAAGACGAAACUGCAAUCAGGGAGGUGAGUUAAAAAUGUACGGUAAUAUUCU
rnacentral:lncRNA from 1 species